UUAUUCAUCUUAAAACAAAGUUUUUACACAAAUACCAUUAAUAAUGGAAAAAAAAAAAAAACAGAUAUAUUUCACACAACGAGUGGGCCAUUGUGGUAGAUAUGGAAUUGGGAAGGUAGGAUAGAACGGAAUUCAAGUUACAUCUCUUGUAUUGUACACAAUGAUUAAUUAUUACUAUGAAAAAAACGAUUCAGGGUUAAGUUUAAUUAUAUACAUUUUGAUA